AUUAAUAGGGUCGGUGCCACGUAUAAGUAAAUCGCUUCUUAUUGUGUAUUAGAACAUUGAGAGAGCGACUAUACCCAAUAACCCAAAUUCUUAACAACUCACGUUUUUCUUCGUCAUUUGAGUUUCUCGUCGCUGAUGCGUUAAACAAAAAAAAACUCUGGAAAUGGCAGAUGCUUUACGUUGGUCCGGCUUUUUUUUU
rnacentral:telomerase_RNA from 1 species